rnacentral:lncRNA from 1 species
AAACAACACUAAAGAUUAUAGGCUUCAGUAUAUAAAGUAUUUAUCAAAAACUCAAUAUUUUUGUAGGGAUUAGCCCAUAGAUUUUGAGAAAAUUUCAAAAAAUAUGACAAUAUUGUUUUAAUGCCUAGCUGCAUCCUGCACUAACAUAUGAUGAUGUUCAAAGAGGUUUGGAGCAUUUGUGCUCUCCGUUUAUCAAGGAAAUAAUAAUUUCAUAUUGGUUAUUCCAUCGAUUUAGGGAGUAUUAUGAAGUUUUACUAAAUUAAUUAAUAAAAACAAUUGA